UACGUAGGCAGCAAGCGUUGUUCGGAGUUACUGGGCGUAAAGGGCGUGUAGGCGGUUGGUUAAGUUUGGCGUGAAAUCUCCCGGCUCAACUGGGAGGGUGCGCCGAAUACUGAGUGACUCGAGUGCGGGAGAGGAAAGUGGAAUUCCAGGUGUAGCGGUGAAAUGCGUAGAUAUCUGGAGGAACACCGGUGGUGUAGACGGAUUUCUGGACCGUAACUGACGCUGAGACACGAAAGCGUGGGUAGCAAACAGG
rnacentral:rRNA from 1 species